UACGUAGGGUGCGAGCGUUAAUCGGAAUUACUGGGCGUAAAGCGUGCGCAGGCGGCUUUGUAAGACAGGUGUGAAAUCCCCGGGCUUAACCUGGGAACUGCGCUUGUGACUGCAAGGCUCGAGUGCGGCAGAGGGGGGUGGAAUUCCACGUGUAGCAGUGAAAUGCGUAGAGAUGUGGAGGAACACCGAUGGCGAAGGCAGCCCCCUGGGUCGACACUGACGCUCAUGCACGAAAGCGUGGGUAGCAAACAGGAUUAGAAACCCCAGUAGUCC
rnacentral:rRNA from 1 species